CUGGCUUAUCCCCACCACCGGGCUUCCCCCUCCACUCCGCCCUGUUUCGCUGCGAGCCUCGCAGGUGCGGUGAGGAACCACCGCGACCGAACGAGUUCCGAGAAAUACGUGCUCGGAGUAAUUCCGUGUAUCGGUGAAGGGGGGUGAGGGGUCACGGCGCUUUUUGUUGAUGUUUUGAAACUGUAUUGUCUCGCUCGGUGUUUGAUCUGGCUUGGCACAAAUACGAAAGGUAUAUCCGAAUAUUCGGCACAAAAUGAUUUACGAGGUUUUCGGUGACGAAACGCGGAAGGAGAUACAUGUAGUCCCUCCAGGACAUACGCGAGCAGUAAGGGUGGAAAAAAUCGACGAGAUCGAGUGCUCGGUUGUGGAGCCUACCGUUGAAACUGAUCGCUCUACGCGGGAGGUAUGCCACUCCGCUUGCGUCUUAUUCAUGAACGAUCAUCUACUUCUGAACGCCGCUGCUUCUCUAAUAGCCCACCUGUAGACUCGAAGUGAUACCAUAAAACCGUAUUCAAGUUCCAGAAGAGGAAAGAGGGAGAGAGCAUUGAGCAGAGUUUCUUUCGAGUUCUUCAUUCACUGUCUCGCUGAACCAGUACCAUCUGUGCCUCCACCUGUGCCCAACCAACUGUUUCUUUGCCAGCGCAACCAGAGUAAAUCCGGUUUCAAUCUCUUUCAGCAUUUUAUCUCGCGACGACAAGGUAAGGUAGCGAGUAAGGUAAUAUCGAUACAUGUUUAAAGGCCCACAUACCGUUCGCUUUCCGUUCUUCCAUACAAAUUAAAUUUUGUACUUUGAUAUCAAAACAAUCGCAGAUCCGAGUACGAGAGUCGCUCAUAUCUAUUGAUAAGAAAACGGUUGAGAAACGGUUACACAAGGAUUUCUAGAUCUGCGUGUACAAAUAUUCCGUAAUGCACAACUACUUUAAAAUUACUUUUUUAAAGAAAAGAUCUAAAUUUACAAUAAAGUAGUUUUUAACCUUUUGUAAAAAAAAAAUUUUACAAGUGUUUAUGACGAACUUUUCUCGCAAAUAUAAAGGUAAAUUUGAUGUAAUGCGAAAGGUAAAUGAAGUUUAAUUAAUUAUAAAAUAACAAUUAAAUGACGCACCCUUUUUUGCAUGCAUGAGUUAAUAUAAUUCCAUGCGAAUUAAAUAAGCAUAAUAACUCUUUUAGCUCUUUGUUAGAUAAUAUCCAUUAUUGCAAUAUUGCGUCACGAUAUUAUGCAAGGUUUGAAACCUUCCUGUGAAACCUUUAUUUAAAACAACAGAAUAUAAAAAUAAAAAAAUUUACUUGUAAUUUUAGAAACACGUUACAUUGAUAUUUUUUUUUAUUUUAAUAAUAAAGUAUCCUUGGCAUAUAAUAUACUAAGUAAACAUCAUUAAGAACACAUAUAUUAUGCACAAAGUAUAGAUUUUAGAAAGGACUUAUAUAUAUAUAUAUAUAUAUAUAUACAAAAAACAAAAAACAAAAAACCGACUCAGUCAUUUUUAGCUCUUAUAUGCUAUCCAUUCCAUCAAAUU